UCUUUGGUCUAUGUUUAAGUGGAGGGGAAAAAGCAACAAAUAAUUGAAAUGUCAACAGAACGCAAUAAGAAUUGUGUUGAAGGACAGUUUUGUCUUCAUACACCUAAAGCAUAUGCUUUCAUUCUGAAACCACUUUGAAGUCUGUUCAGCAGGAAACUAAUCAUAAUAUAUUUACAUUUAUAUUGACAAACAGUUUUUUUUAAAGUUGUGAAGUUUAAAAUAAGCUUAAAAUAUUGAUGUUGUAUUUACAUUUACAAUUUUAAUUCAGAUUCAUGAACAGAUUUACUCGGGCUCGGCCUGUUAUGGACUCGGCCGCUUUUGGACUCAGACUCAACUCGGACUCGAUUGUUUAAAGACUUGGACUUGUGACAGAACCAUAGACAAACAUACGUAGAUGCCUCAUUCGGGUGGUUCAGAAACGUCAACCACGGCACCAUCUUGGAACGGUUAACGAGGAGAGCUGUUGAAUACAGCUCUGACAUAUCCAAUAUGGCGGACGCACCGACAUAUCGUGGUCCUUAGAAACAGCUGCUAAUAAGGUAUCUAUGUAUUGAUAUCUAUGGAUAGAACAGCAGAAGUUGUUUUAACAUAAUCUCUGCAAGAACCCAUUUGAAGUCCCAGAAGUCAUAGCAGCACUACGGUGGCUGACGAAGGACAUUUAUCGUUGUGUUUUCCCUCAAGAGUAUCCCGCUGUAAGCUCACAAAAUUCUGACAGCUCAUGAAAGUCAUCGCACUCCGUCAACAUUUGUUUUGCUGUAAUAAAGACCAGGAGGAAACGAGUGUUAAAAGACUUUAUUCUUUUAACGUGUCACUAGUCCACCACUAGACACCAGUAGCUCUCUCACUGACUUCAAAUGUGCUGUGACGGAUAAUUGCACAUCAGGAAGUUCACAGCACAUCUAAAAGUUCGUGAUAGAAGCGUUCUUUGUUCUUCUGUUUGUUCUUCCAAGUUAGCUUGGCAAGACUGGUCUUCAAAAGAACGCAAGUUCGUUCCCUGCAUUCUUAGCAUUGAGAAACACCCUUAGAAUGUUCACUUGGAUGCUUCCAGUCCAGACAGCCUCAAGCCGUCACGUCAGCAGGUACGUGCAGUGCAGACAGGUGUCAACAUUGUCUGUCCUAGGACUUUUUGUUGAAAACACAUUGGUCUCCAGGGUUUUUUCUACCUGACCCUCACUACUUUUUCUAAAAUUAAAACACAUAGAAGACAACAGCAUCUUAAUCCGUGGAAAUGUUCAACCUUAUCUUUGGAAAUCAAUAGACAUGAGUUGUAUUUACUGACAUGCUGGAACACUGCCCCAAGCUUUCCAGAAUUCUUGAGAUCUCUGUUUCACUGCUGCAGAACCCUUAUUGGCCCUGCAUCCUGUCAGGGUCAUUUGACCACAUCAAACACAGAUAUGAUGAUGGACAUUCAAAAUAAAUCUGAGUGGACAUUAGACACAAAGACAUCAACCAGGCAAUAACAUGGCUAU